GGAGAGAUGGCUAAGUGGCUUAAGGCCUAGCAUUGAAAUUGCUAUGUAGGCUUUUGUUUACCGAGGGUUCGAAUCCCUCUCUUUCCG
rnacentral:tRNA from 1 species